UAAUACAGAGGGUGCAAGCGUUAAUCGGAAUUACUGGGCGUAAAGCGCGCGUAGGCGGUUGUGUAAGUUGGAGGUGAAAUCCCCGGGCUCAACCUGGGCAUUGCCUUCAAAACUGCACGGCUAGAGUAUGGGAGAGGAAGGUAGAAUUCCAGGUGUAGCGGUGAAAUGCGUAGAGAUCUGGAGGAAUACCGAUGGCGAAGGCAGCCUUCUGGCCUAAUACUGACGCUGAGGUGCGAAAGCAUGGGGAGCAAACAGGAUUAGAUACCCUGGUAGUCCAUGCCGUAAACGAUGUCAACUAGGUGUUGGGGAACUUGAUUCCUUAGUGCCGCAGCUAACGCAUUAAGUUGACCGCCUGGGGAGUACGGUCGCAAGACUAAAACUCAAAUGAAUUGACGGGGGCCCGCACAAGCGGUGGAGCAUGUGGUUUAAUUCGAUGCAACGCGAAGAACCUUACCUACUCUUGACAUCCAGAGAAUCCUGUAGAGAUACGGGAGUGCCUUCGGGAA
rnacentral:rRNA from 1 species